rnacentral:rRNA from 1 species
AAUAGAUACCCCGGUAGUCCACGCCGUAAACGGUGGGCACUAGGUGUGGGCAACAUUCCACGUUGUCCGUGCCGCAGCUAACGCAUUAAGUGCCCCGCCUGGGGAGUACGGCCGCAAGGCUAAAACUCAAAGGAAUUGACGGGGGCCCGCACAAGCGGCGGAGCAUGUGGCUUAAUUCGACGCAACGCGAAGAACCUUACCAAGGCUUGACAUACACCGGAAACGGCCAGAGAUGGUCGCCCCCUUGUGGUCGGUGUACAGGUGGUGCAUGGCUGUCGUCAGCUCGUGUCGUGAAAUGUUGGGUUAAGUCCCGCAACGAGCGCAACCCUUAUCCUGUGUUGCCAGCGGAUCCCUUCGGGGGUGCCGGGGACUCACGGGAGACUGCCGGGGUCAACUCGGAGGAAGGUGGGGACGACGUCAAGUCAUCAUGCCCCUUAUGUCUUGGGCUGCACACGUGCUACAAUGGCCGGUACAAUGAGCUGCGAUACCGCGAGGUGGAGCGAAUCUCAAAAAGCCGGUCUCAGUUCGGAUUGGGGUCUG